rnacentral:rRNA from 1 species
CCUACGGGCGGCUGCAGUAGGGAAUAUUGCUCAAUGGGGGAAACCCUGAAGCAGCAACGCCGCGUGGAGGAUGAAGGUUUUCGGAUUGUAAACUCCUUUUGUUAGAGAAGAUAAUGACGGUAUCUAACGAAUAAGCACCGGCGAACUAUGCGCCAGCAGCCGCGGUAAUACGGAGGGUGCAAGCGUUACUCGGAAUCACUGGGCGUAAAGAGCGCGUAGGCGGGAUAGCAAGUCAGAUGUGAAAUCCUAUGGCUUAACCAUAGAACUGCAUUUGGAACUGUUAUUCUAGAGUAUGGGAGAGGUAGGUGGAAUUCUUGGUGUAGGGGUGAAAUCCGUAGAGAUCAAGAGGAAUACUCAUGGCGAAGGCGGCCUGCUGGAACAUGACUGACGCUGAUGCGCGAAAGCGUGGGGAGCAAACAGGAUUAGAUACCCCUGUAGUC